UACAGAGGGUGCAAGCGUUGUUCGGAAUUAUUGGGCGUAAAGGGUGCGUAGGUGGGCAGGUAAGUCAGUGGUGAAAUCUCUGGGCUUAACCCGGAAACUGCCGUUGAUACUAUCUGUCUUGAAUAUAGUGGAGGUGAGCGGAAUAUGUCAUGUAGCGGUGAAAUGCUUAGAUAUGACAUAGAACAUCGAUUGCGAAGGCAGCUCGCUACACUAUGAUUGACACUGAGGCACGAAAGCGUGGGGAUCAAACAGG
rnacentral:rRNA from 1 species